rnacentral:lncRNA from 1 species
AUGCAGCCAGGUGGGAUGUCUGCCUCUGCUGCAGCCCAUGAGCAGAGAGGUGCAGGAACAGCAGUGGGUCUGAAGGCACUGCAGGGCAUGGGGUGCCCUCACUGCAUGGCAGUGCCAGCUCCCCUGAGGCAGUGCUGCAUUGGGGACCUCGGUGCUGAUCCGACAGCAUGGUGCUGCUCCUUGCUCUCUUGCUGCGUUGCUUGCUUUCUUUUGCAGCUGCUAAUGACUGACCUGAGGUCUGUUCACACACAGUCCCCUGCGCAGCCCUCGCAGAGGAACAGCUGGACGGGAUGGGGGACGCUGCACAGUGCCCAUAUAGCCAGAUUGCACAGCACCACCAGUCCCAUGGCUCUGCCACAGCUCUCACCCGAGGGCACCGGAGCACAGGGACGUGACAGCUGCCUGCACAUGGACACUGGAGCUGCUGGCCACAGCGGAGCCACCUGAUGCCAGCCUGGCUGUUGUGAGAACAAGGCUGAAGAGAUGGUGGUGGCAGUGCCUGAGGACAUGGGACUGUCUUCACAUGGUCCUACCAGGUGCUGGGGUCCUCUUCUUCCUGCAAACACUCUGGCACUGAUGAGGCUAUCCCCGUCUUGGAGUCCAUCUCUCAUCCUCAUGGUGCCAGGGCUGCACAUCGCAGGGUGUACUCAGGCUCUGUGUGCUUCACCAGCACAGUGACAGCAGCAGGUCCCCACCAAGCGUUUCAUCAGGAGGGCUGCAUUGUGCUGACCCAUCCACUGACACCUUCCCAUAUCCCAUAACCCAGUGGCAAAGCCCAAAAACGUCUCCUGCUCUCCAAAGCCAUGCUGCCUUGCGCGGGGACUAACCGUGCCCAGCUGUGCAUGCGUGUGCUCUGCUCCUCUCCAGCACUAACCAGGUCCCCCAGGCACCGUGUGCCCCUUGUGAUCACUAACCCACUAACACACCCACGCAUGUCCUACUAACAGCCCCGCUCUCACUAACAGCCCACAGGCCUUAAAGGGGAACGGAAAAGCUGGGUAAGUACGGAGCUGUGUGGGGCACUGUGGGGCUGGGGAAGCCAGGCAGCAUGUGGGGCAGGCAGGACAGGGUGGGCAGCCCCUCUGUAUGGCCCCUGCAUGGGGCUGGUCUCUGCAGCAGUGGGGCUGCGAUGCCCAGAGUGCUGCAUAUGGUUCUGCUGCUGACUGGGAGCCCAAAAUGGUUUUAUCAGCAGAAGCUUUUCAGUUCCUUUUUAAGCCAGUGGAUCUCUCUGUUACUAACACAUUCCUGAACUGAAUUAAACAAACUAAUCGUUGCUGCUUUUCUCUUCAUUUCUCUUCUAGUGUAUAUGUUCUCUAAGUGCGACUGACGAUGCCAUGCUUCUCUUUACUAACAGCCUGCAUUAACUUCUCUUUACUUGUUUCUCUAUUGCCUCUAACAAUUAUUCUUUGCACUUCAACUUUCCAGUGCUGUUGGCCAUGACAGAUGAGCAGUGGUCCCUACACACCCAGGGACCCACGGCUGCUGACCCCACACUGCCAUUGGGUGCAGCACAAAGGGAGAGGCUCGGGCCAGGGCUGCUUUCAAAAUUUCCCUAUUGGCUUGUUGUUUGCUGAGAAAUUUCCACGUGGUUCAAUGAGUAAAAGAUACUGAGUGGAAAGAGGACAAUGCCAAAACCAUGAGCAACAGCUGGCAAUUGCCACAAUAAACCAGCAAAGCUGCCCA